CCCUUAGAUGUUCUCGGCCGCACACGCGCUACACUGAAAGAGGCAACGUGUUUGCCUGAUUCGAAAGAAUUGGGUAACCCCCUAAUCUCUUUCGUGCUGGGGAUUGAGGUUUGCAAUUAUCCUUCAUGAACGAGGAAUUCCCAGUAAGUGCGAGUCAUUAUCUCGCGCUGACUACGUCCCUGCCCUUUGUACACACCGCCCGUCGCUACUACCGAUUGAAUGAUUUAGUGAGGACUUCGGACUGAGUCCAAUGCAGCUUUCGGGCUGCGUUGGUAUUUCGGAAAGAUGUCCAAACUGUAUCAUUUAGAGGAAGUAAAAGUCGUAACA
rnacentral:rRNA from 1 species